GUUUGAGGCAUUCUAAAACUCACAGCUUUUAUCUGUAUUAGACGUUCGGAAACACAGAUGUUAAAUGGGUAACUACAGAACUCUAGGUGUAAUAGACUGAACUAACUGGAGAAGAUUAGUUCAGCUAAGCCUAAAUGCUAUGGGGUUUAACACACUAAAGCUCAAUUUCUUGGGAAACCAAGCUGAACAUGGAUGACACAUGGAUUCAUUCCAGGCUGGGUGUAUUUGCUGCAUGAACUUAUUUGGUCUUGAAGAAGCAGAGCUUCAGCAUGGACAAAAAGAAGCAAUUAAAUUCUGGAAUAUUUAUGAGAAUUUUUACAGAACCUGUUAAAGCAAGCUUUUCUGGAAACAAGGAUGAAUGAUGCUGGAUAGCCACCAGAUGGCAACAUUGCAAAGCAAAUGUAGACACUAGGAAAAACGCCAGAACAAGCCAGAUUCUUUUUGCACUCUUAUCUCAGAACUUAAAUUUACUAUUUC
rnacentral:lncRNA from 1 species